rnacentral:rRNA from 1 species
CUAGCUGUAAACGAUGGAUACUAGGCGUUGAGAGUAUCGACCCUCUCAGUGUCGUAGCUAACGCGUUAAGUAUCCCGCCUGGGGAGUACGCGCGCAAGCGUGAAACUCCAAGGAAUUGACGGGGGCCCGCACAAGCGGUGGAGUAUGUGGUUUAAUUCGAUGCAACGCGAAGAACCUUACCAGGGCUUGACAUGUCCGGAACCCUGCCCAAAGGCGGGGGUGCCUACGGGAACCGGAACACAGGUGGUGC